rnacentral:rRNA from 1 species
UACGUAGGGGGCAAGCGUUAUCCGGAUUUACUGGGUGUAAAGGGAGCGUAGACGGCAUGGCAAGUCAGAUGUGAAAGCCCGGGGCUCAACCCCGGGACUGCAUUUGAAACUGUCAGGCUGGAGUGCAGGAGAGGUAAGCGGAAUUCCUAGUGUAGCGGUGAAAUGCGUAGAUAUAUGGAGGAACACCGGUGGCGAAAGCGACUCUCUGGCCUGUAACUGACACUGAGGCUCGAAAGCGUGGGGAGCAAACAGG